rnacentral:rRNA from 1 species
UACGUAGGGGGCAAGCGUUGUCCGGAAUUAUUGGGCGUAAAGAGCUCGUAGGCGGUCUGUCGCGUCGGUCGUGAAAACUUGGGGCUUAACCCUGAGCUUGCGGUCGAUACGGGCAUGACUGGAGUUCGGCAGGGGAGACUGGAAUUCCUGGUGUAGCGGUGAAAUGCGUUGAUAUCAUCAGGAACACCGGUGGCGAAAGCGGCUUACUGGGUCUCUUCUGACGCUGAGGAACGAAAGCUAGGGUAGCGAACGGG